UACGUAGGGUGCAAGCGUUGUCCGGAAUUAUUGGGCGUAAAGAGCGUGUAGGCGGCCCGAUUAGUCCGCUGUGAAAGUCCAGGGCUCAACCCUGGAAUGCCGGUGGAUACUGUCGGGCUAGAGUCCGGAAGGGGCGAGUGGAAUUCCUGGUGUAGCGGUGAAAUGCGCAGAUAUCAGGAGGAACACCAAUGGCGAAGGCAGGUCUCUGGGCAUUAACUGACGCUGAGGAGCGAAAGCAUGGGGAGCGAACAGG
rnacentral:rRNA from 1 species